UACGAAGGGUGCAAGCGUUAUCCGGAUUCAUUGGGCUUAAAGGGUGCGUAGGUGGUGCGAUAAGUCAGUGGUGAAAUCCUGCGGCUUAACCGUAGAAUUGCCAUUGAUACUGUCGCUCUUGAGUACGCUUGAGGUGGGCGGAAUGUGCCGUGUAGCGGUGAAAUGCUUAGAUAUGGCACAGAACACCGAUAGUGAAGACAGCUCACUAAGGCGAAACUGACACUGAGGCACGAAAGCGUGGGGAUCGAACAGG
rnacentral:rRNA from 1 species